AACGCACAUUGCGCCCUCUGGUAUUCCGGAGGGCAUGCCUGUUCGAGCGUCAUUUCAACCCUCAAGCCUGGCUUGGUGAUGGGGCACUGCCUUCUAGCGAGGGCAGGCCCUGAAAUCUAGUGGCGAGCUCGCUAGGACCCCGAGCGUAGUAGUUAUAUCUCGUUCUGGAAGGCCCUGGCGGUGCCCUGCCGUUAAACCCCCAACUUCUGAAAAUUUGACCUCGGAUCAGGUAGGAAUACCCGCUGAACUUAA
rnacentral:misc_RNA from 1 species